GCCCCGCCCCCUGCGUCUCAUUGGUAAAGACGCAACACGUCCUUCGAGACGCAGGAGCGCGCACCGUCGCGAUGACGUCACCUGCGCGCCCUCACGUCUGGCCAAAAGGAACUUGCACCAGCUAGAUCAAAAUAGCGGCUUUUAUUUCACAUUCCUCAAUACACAGUGCAUUGAAGUAUCCUCAGGAUCUGCAUGUGGAGUAUAGAUACCAAGUGUAAUUAAGGACAACUCCCAGGUUCUUAGUCCAAGAACUGGAAGGUCGAAGCUGAUAUUUAAUGAAAUGGAGAACUCUGCAAGAGCAGGUUUGGGAGCAAGGAAGCCUUGGAAUUCAGUUCUGGGUAUAUGAAUUUGAGUUGCUAUAUCAGGCUCUUUAGAGUAAGUUUGUUGCAGUAAACAACUCCAAAAAUCUUAGUGCCUUAAAACAAAAAAGUUUAUUUCUUGCUCACCUGUGUGUCUGCUGCAUGUUGACUCUGGCUGUGUUGACUUCAUCCCAUGACCCAGGCUGAAGGAGCAGAGAUGGUUCCGAUUUUAGAACAGAGGGAAGAAAGAGCACAGUGGAGCCACAUCAUGGCCCUUAAGGCUUCUUCUCAGGCUGGCACAAGUCACUUCUACUCAUAUGUCAUUGAUCAAAGUAAGUCACCUGGCCAACUCUGACAUCAAGAUUAAGUAUAAUUCUAGGACUGUAAAAAGCAGAAGGCAAAAAAUAUUUCAAAUAAUAAUACAGUACACUGCAGAUGCCUAUUUGACAUUUAAGUGGCAAUGUCACUAGGUAGUUGGAUGUAUGAAUCUGAAGGUCAGGAGAGAAAUCCAGGCUGCAUAUAUGAAUUUUAGAAUCUUUAGCAUGUAAUAUUUACAUUCCUGAAGUUAGAAGAGAUCACCAAAGGAGUAAGUAUAAGUAAAGUUCAGAGGACUGAGCCAGGGGUACUCUGGCAAUUUAGAAAUCAGAAAAGUGAGAAAUAAUGAACCAUGACUGAGAAAGAGUGGCCCUGGAGUAAGUGGUGUGCUGGAGGUAAAGCAAAGAUGAUCUCGGAUAAGAGGGGGUGAUGAGCUCUGUCAAAGCCUGCUGAUAGGAUACAAAGAGGACUGGCAGUUGAGUGGAAGUUGUUGUAAAGCUGAGAAAAGCAGUUUUACUGCUGGGGUUGGGGAAGAAGCCUCAUUCUAGUGGGUUUAAGAGAGAAUGGUAGUAAAUGAAGUAAAGGGAGCAAAUGUGAACAGACCAAACAAAUUAUUCACAGGAAGAAAAAAGAAGGUACUGAAAGAAUGCCAAAGACAUAGCUACACUGGUAAAGAGCAGAGAAGCAGAGAUGCUGGAGUUCUGAGGACAGGAGCAGAGUGGCUGUUGCCAACUCAAAUACACAUCAUUUAAGUGCAUCUACUCAGGUGUCUCCAUUCCUCACCAUCUGAGGAAGCUACAUCAACCCACCACCCUUUCCCGAUCAAUUAACUCCACCUUUAUUACAUUUAAAAGUUUCUUUCCUUGUACAUCUUCUCUAAACCCCAGGUCUUGGAGUGCUCCAGAUUUUACUCCUUGCUCUUCUUCUCUAUCUGCAUUCACUUCCUUGAUCUUAUCCAGUCUCAAAGCUUGAAACAUCUAUAUGCCAUGACUCCCACAUUUCUAACUUUAUUCAUCCUUUUCUUCACAUCACAAUCCAACUGCAUACUUGGUAUUUCCAUUUGGGUGUCCAAUAGAUUGAACUGCUGCUGAUAACCCUACUAUAAACCUCUUAUUCACAGACCUCUGACCUCGGCUGAUGGCAUUCUGAUCCUUCCACUUCUAGAUUCUGUGACUCCUCUGCUCAAAACCUCCAAUCCCAUAGGCAGAAUGAUUAAGAAACUUGCCCAGUGUCAUCCCAUUAAUCAAUGACAGAGUGCUUUCCUGAAAGCCACGUCUUCAAACAAAUUGUUGGAAGUAAUUCUUACUUUAUCAGGAACAAGGUUACACUUGGACUUUGUAUUUUUGAUAAAGAAUUCAGCAUAAACAAAGUUUGAUAUAACCAACACCCUAAUCAGUAGUACUAACUUACCUUUGUCUAGCAUUUUAUAAUUUUCUAAAGCACUUUCUUGUAUGUACAUUAAUUUGAUUCUCUGACAAUGCAGAGAGGUAGAUAUUAUUGUCCCUAGUUUAGAAGUGGAUAAAAUGGGACCCAGGAAGAUGAACCAACCUACUCAGGAUCAAUUUAAUUGGUGGUUGAUAGAGGGAGUUAUCCUCCACCCCUUCAGUAGGACAGAGGUACUUUCUGUUGCCCCCAAUGGACAGAAGACAGCUACUAUGUAAAUUAGCACACCCCACCAUCUUGAAGUUAGUGUCAAUUUUUAGUCAGAUCCACACUUGCAUUUCUUUAUAACUUCAAGGCCAAAUAACUCAUCUACACCAUUCAUUCCUGUUCUUAUUACUUACCCUCAAACUCUUUACUCGUACAUAAAUUGCCUAUGCUUCUUUCCCCCAGCUUCUUUCCACCGCUGACCUCUUUGAAACUCUUUCCACUGCAGAAGCCACAGUUUCAUCGUAAGCACUCUCUACAGCCUCAACAUCCUCACAGAGCCAUACCUUCACUUUCUUGCCUCAAGUGAAACCUGGCUUUUCCCCCAAAGACAUCACUUCCCUUGAGCCCUGACAAACAAAAUCUGCUUUUUCCCCUGCCUUUCAACAUGCUGAGAGGUAUGUGGAUGCAGUGUUGAUAUUCUCCUAGCUUCUAGCUGCCAGUUCCAGGUGAUUCCAUUCUUACCUGUAUGAAACUCCCCACUUUAUGCCCCCUUUUGAGUCUCAUGCUGUAGCAUGAAGUGUAAUCAUCAUCAUCCACCAGCUCAAGGUCACUCCCCCAGAUUCACUGAAAGCUUCAGCACCUGGCCCACACAAAUGCUGCCAGACUCCCACUGUAAUCUCAGACAGCCUUCAUGCCCAUGAUUCACAGCUCCUCAAGCACCUGGAUUCCAUUGCCCUUUGCCUCCAUUCCUCUUUAACUCAACUCAUUCCUGUGGCAAAAUCCUAAUUUUAUGUUUACUCACAUGCUCUGAAAACCAGAACUCUAGUGACCCUUCACACCUCUGCAACUUUGACACUUUCCUGACUUCUUAGUAAUUUCUGUUCUUGAUCUUUCUUCAAUUCUUUGAGUUGCCCUCCCAUCUUCACUUUCAUCCUUGCCCAGCAUAGACCCCAAAGGCCCAUAAGUUCUCCGACUGUGGCUUCUGGGUACCCACCGUGCCCUCCCUCCAUCUUUGCUAUACUCCCAACCAACUCGCUCUCUUCUCUGGUUAUCUGAGUGGUUAAAGGCAUGGGCUAGGGAAGCCUGUUUCUAUCAUUUGAAGACUUUUUCCACCAUGUAAUAAUUCUACCUUGGACAAGUCAUUAAUUUUUCAGGGCUUCCAUUUCCUCAAUUGGGAAAUAGUAGUAUCUUACCUCCUGACCAUCAUAAAUUAUUGUGAAUAUUAAUUGAGAAUAUAUGUAACAUGCUUAGAAUAGUACCUAUCUCAUAAGUACUCAAUAAAUGUUUAAUAAACUGCUUUAUGAUGUUUCUUAAAAAAAAUCACGUAACCAGAUUAAUAAGUACCAAUACAUGCCCAAAUCUGCAAAGCAAAAUGUAAUCCAACAAACAUCCUCUUUUUUCACUCCUUCCCUAGAUACUGCCUGCUUCAGGGAGACUUUUGAGACAAUACCUUUGUAAGGGCCUGAGAACCUCUGAUUACAUCAUAUUAAUUAUUUGUCCUCCUCAUCAGAAGUAGAUAGGAUUAGCAGGCUGACUAAUGUUUAUUAUUUGUAAGGCAGGAAUAGCAAGGAUUUCAUGUGACCACUUCCCAGAAGACAGACUAGAAGAACCAGGCAGAAGGCAUAAAUAGGCAUCUCACAAGAGAGAAAACAUGGAUGACCAAGAAACAUAUUAAAAGAUGCUCAUCCUCAUUAGUAGGGAAAUGCAAAUUAGAACUACAAUGAAAUAACCUUGCACACCCUUGAAAAUGGCAAAAAUGAAGAAAUUUAACAAUAUCAGAUGUUGGACUAGGUAUUCUUAUGGUGGGCAUGUAAAUGAUACAAUUGCUUUGUGAAACAUUGUGGGGUUUUGUAAACCCAAUAUUCACAUACCCCAGGGAUCAGCAGCUCCAUCCAUUGAGAGUCUUUCACAUUUUGUCGACCAAACAUAACAAAAAGCACAAAGCUGCAAAUAACCCUAUCCACUGACAGGAGAAUGGAUAAAUAGUGGAUAAAUAGUGGUAUAUUCACCAGAGGAAUAUUUAACACACACACACAGUAAAAUAUAGCUGCAGUAACAACAUGAACGAAUCUUAGAAACACCGUUGAAGGGUAAAGAAAAAACAAGUAAAUGUAUGUAUUAUAAUAACACUUUAAAUAUGUUAAUCUAUUUAAUUCUCAUAAUAUCUCUUUGAGGAAGGUACUAUUGCUCUCAUUUGACAGAUAAGGAAACUGAGGCACAGAGGAAACAGUUACAGAUAAGAAACCAGCUAAUAAGUGGAGGUUGCAGGAUCUAGUUAACAUUUACUACAUGCUUACAUAGUAUCAGACACUGUAUUACCUUGCCCAUACCCACAUUAUCUACUUUAUGAAAGAUGCUCUUAUAAAAUGUCCUUCUUCGUUGUUUUUUUAUUUGCCUGAUAAAUCUUCCUAAAUAAACAUAAUAAGUUAGA